rnacentral:sRNA from 1 species
ACAUUAUGUUCUCCGCUUCGCUUAGUAACAACACGUUAUAUAGUCAUACCUUUUAGACAGUUCUUUUAGAACGUAAUAUCAAGACAUGAAAAUGAUUUUAGGAAAGCUAUAAGAAAGAUUACACAAAUACAGUAUUUGUCGAUGUAUUUCUAAUCACAGUGAUCCAGCCCUACCUGCGAGCGCCACGACGCCGAUGGAGCCCGCUGCUACUAGAGUCCCGGAUGUUAGGCUUUUCAAGGCAUAUAUGAUUGAAAAUUAAGCAUACUGCAAGAUAAAAAAUGAAAAUGUUAAAAUAAACAUAUGUGU